rnacentral:rRNA from 1 species
AACGAACGCUGGCGGCAGGCCUAACACAUGCAAGUCGAGCGAUCCCUUCGGGGAUAGCGGCGGACGGGUGAGUAACGCGUGGGAACGUACCCUUUGCUACGGAAUAGCCUCGGGAAACUGGGAGUAAUACCGUAUGUGCCCUUCGGGGGAAAGAUUUAUCGGCAAAGGAUCGGCCCGCGUUGGAUUAGGUAGUUGGUGGGGUAAUGGCCUACCAAGCCGACGAUCCAUAGCUGGUUUGAGAGGAUGAUCAGCCACACUGGGACUGAGACACGGCCCAGACUCCUACGGGAGGCAGCAGUGGGGAAUCUUAGACAAUGGGGGCAACCCUGAUCUAGCCAUGCCGCGUGAGUGAUGAAGGCCUUAGGGUUGUAAAGCUCUUUCAGCUGGGAAGAUAAUGACGGUACCAGCAGAAGAAGCCCCGGCUAACUCCGUG